rnacentral:rRNA from 1 species
UACGGAGGGUGCGAGCGUUAUCCGGAUUCACUGGGUUUAAAGGGUGCGUAGGUGGGUCUGUAAGUCAGUGGUGAAAUCUCCGGGCUUAACCUGGAAACUGCCAUUGAUACUAUAGGUCUUGAAUUUUCUGGAGGUAAGCGGAAUAUGUCAUGUAGCGGUGAAAUGCUUAGAUAUGACAUAGAACACCAAUUGCGAAGGCAGCUUGCUACAGGAAUAUUGACACUGAGGCACGAAAGCGUGGGGAUCAAACAGG